UACGCUCCACUCCUGUGUAUAUUUACCAUUGACAUAUAGAUCUCUUUUUCAGGAAGCUUUUCAAUUAUUUCCUUCGUUGAUUCUAAAUUGAUCAAUCACGCUACACUAUGACGCACGUAUAUAUAAAUACUUCGCUAAGUCAAUAAGAGUUAGAUUUUGUACUAAAUUCAACUUCGACUUUAUCUCGAUUAAACUGCAAUCCUAUUUUGUGUGUCAACGUUGAAACAGCGAACAAAGCUGGUCUUAAGGAAUACAUAUUAGCACAAACCGCGCACAAUAUCAAUCAGUUUCGACGAAACUCUGCUACAUCCGAGUGUAACAAUGACAACGGGUCAGUCGGUCGAACUUACAACUUGUCAUCAGCCACGUUCAUCCAGUGUUUUCGAAGACAGUUAACUAGGCAAGAAGCUUGUCGGUUACUGACGUUUCCGAUCGUUUCGGAUUUUAUAGAGCUGGAGGUCGUAACCAAGGCUCAAACGUUGGCUGAUUUCCACCAUUUAAGCCUCUCUUCCUCCUCGCAAAAUUAGUUAACGCCUCUGAAAAACAUGACCAGGAGUAUUGCCUUUCGAAACGAACUUGGAAAACAAGCUUGUAUCGGUACACCCGUACAGAAGCCAUAAAAGGAACGAGUUCUGACGCAAGACGUUAAUCAACUCACUGGUGAAGGAUUUGCUGUCAUUCAUCUUGUUUAUCGUCUAUUGGUGAAAAUCCAUUGCCGAUAUAUGUAUGUAUAACGUAAUGGAUAGGAGAAUACGAAGAUGAAUAAGCGUGAAAUAUAGCAACUGUAAAAUAUAAUAUAAAGAUAUCGGUGGAACUAAAUGCAAAAUAAAAUGGAAUAAAAGAGUUUUGAUGUAUCGUUUCGAUAUAUUGAUGUUUUAAAAAAAAAAAGUAAAAGAAGAUAAUUGACCCAUGGGAAACGAGUUUAGGGAGAUUCUGUUGCAUAAAGAUAAAUAUUAUACGAAAUAAAAAUACGAGUGUCGAUAUGAUCUCAUUUAGAUACAUAUCGGCCUGUUUCCCAACCGUCUUCCUAGUUAUACAUAAAUAUUGAUUUUCUCGAGCAAUCGAGAACGCUCAAUGCGGCCGUAUGUAACCUCGAAAGGUCCUUGACAUUUUUACGUGCUUCAAGAAUAUAGAUACUAAUUGCGGCGAGCGAAAGUAUUGUUACAGAUAUGGUAGGAUCGCUCAUGAAAAAGUCAACGAAUGACAUAAUCUAUCCAUAUUGUUUCAUUUAUGUAUAUGUCACAGCCUAAUACCUUCAACAGAGACACAUGAAUCGCACGUAUAAGAAAUAUAGAAAUGAAAUGUUGAUGGGAAAUAAAUGAUUGAUUGGAACAAGACCGUGUUCACUACGUGAUUAUCGUAGCGAUUAGCGGUUACUUUUUAAUAAUUUCGAUAUUGCGAGUAAGAUGAAAUUAUCUGGAAUAACACUUGAAAUGUAUUCGGGAUGAAAUUAUGAAUUUUAAUAUCUUUAAAUGAAUUUCUCCCUUAAUAAAGAGUUUUACCGGUACGCGCCAUAACGUUCGCUUGUUUUAACGAAUUAUUACGAGGUAAUUAAUUAAAUUCAAUAAUACGUUUCUGUUACUUCCUGCCUAUUUUUCAAGCUUCUUCCUAGAUUGACAUUACGCUUUUAAAUACUCAGAUGAUUAAUUACAGUGGACAAACUUUCCUAGGAAAAUUAUGAAAAUCGACAUCUUCGAAAAAUACGUUGUUUUAAGCUUCGAAUCUGUUGCGAGUAAAAUAAACGAGCUUCUGAGUUUCAUAGUAAACGAAAAAUGAAACACGAAUGAAUUACACUGAUUCAGCUCUGAUAUGUCUGACUACGACUUAUGAAAGUAUCUGCGCACAUUAAAUACGAAGUAUCAAAUAUGGAAAUUAUAAAACAGCUUUAAUACAUUUACUCUUCUCAUUUACUAUGAAUACUAAUGCAAUAUCCACGACAUUAAUACCGAUUAAAUUAAGCUAAAGAUUAAUACGAUAUCAAGCAACGCCGACGAGUCAUCAAUCAUGGUCAGGAGGCAGGUCCGUACUGCAAAGGUUUAAAUUGUGAACGUCGAUCGGUCAUUUAUUUUCCACUGCUCUAAUAUUAUAAAAACUAUUUCGAUACGACCGAAUUGUAAUUCGUUCAGUGCACAAACAUGUCUGGCGAAGGAUUCGGAUCUGAACGGAACAGAUUCGAUGUCUUCGCCACAUCGAUCGCCGUACCACGACAGAAUACAUAUACACGAUGUCGAGGUAUUAAAUCUCCAUUGCCCGACGCGCCGUCGAUACUUCUGAAUUACGCUCGACUGGCUGUUCGCACGUCACCAUUUGCAAAGCAUAAAUUCGCUUUGAUUCGCGGACGAUUCACGACACGUCGAGCACAUCCGGAAACCGCUGUGUGCUUUCACCCUUUUCCACGCCACGUUCCACUCUCGCUAGACGCACCGAGAGCCACGGCCAAUCACGAGGGACAGAGCAAUUUGUUCAGCAAAUUAGGUUAAAUCUGAAUCUUGGUGGUCUCGUUUCCCCGCGGCCUCUUGCCAUCGAUUAUCCACGCACACACGCGCCUCUUCUGCCGGAAGAAGGGGACACAAAGGACGAAACGGGAACGCCGCGUGUCCAACCGAACGGAAAGUGGAGAAAAAUUGCGGGCAAAUUACUUUGAGUAUAUGUUACAAAUGGUGCGGUAAUAGGUCGGAUUUUUAUGUAAGAUCAUUUGGCAAAUCGAGUAACCCCGUAAAAAGUGGAGAAAAUUGAUGAAAUUAUAUAAGAUAAGCGUGGAUGCUUUGCGAUUGAAAAGCAAUUAAGAAGAGUAAUUAUUAUGUGAAUUUUAAUAUAUAGGAAUUGCUAUUAAAGGAAACCAUGAAGCCUGCUUGGGAACCAGAGAGUAAUUUACGACUGAAAUAUUCAAGAUGCCCAACUUCUCCAUACCACGAGUUCAAUACAGCAUCAAGCCGCGGAGGUCUGGCCAGUUUGCCUAUCAUAGUGGAUAAUUAAUCCGGCAAAUCAUUGGCCAAUUGCAAUUACCAAUGCGACCACGUUAAUUAACGAUCUACGGUUAAUGGAUAGACUGCAAGCAAGUGCAUUGCGUAAAACGUUGGUUUGCCGAACAUUUUCGGCAAGUAUUAUUCCAUUGACAAUUAUCACGUGCAUGGAAGCUCGUGCAUGUACGGGACAAACGGAAUCUCCUAUUUUCAUGGGAGAGGACAACAGCGAAGCCACGUACCAAUAAUAACAUUGCAGUCUAUGACGAUGCUCAUUACGAACCCGAUAUAGUGCACACGAAGUCGGAUACUGCAGAAGUAAAACUAGACGUUCUUGUAAAAAUGUCUCAUACAACAAAGAAAAAAGAAAUUAUCGUAAUUAGGAUCGUAAAGGAUAACAGAAGCUGUGGCAAUCGGUUUCAAUCUCUUGCCCACCUUUUACCUAUUUUCUUCUAACGUUUACGAAAAUUAACACGAACCUCGUGUAUCGUGCAAAUCCUUUGCUACUUUCAAGAUUAAGAACCGUCACACGCGCUUUCAUUCGUAGAUUUUCAAGUCGAACUUAACAUGUUUAUACACGUAUAAAUAUAUCUAUGUGAAAUAUAAAAAUAUAUAAAAUAGCCCACGAAAAUGUGAUCCAAUUACUUUUAUGGACGGAAGCUUGACAUUAACACGGACAACAGCUACGAGAUUUAUCUGAAUUUCAUCUGGAUGAAAGUCUAGGAAGUCGUUGACCUUAACUUUGAGAUGUUAGCGUACGGCUUCUAACAGACUCAAGGUUCCGUUGAUAUCAAAGUUUUAUACAUAGAAUCCAAUAACUAUGCGGUGCACGUGUACGGAUUUAAAGGAUUGCUUAUAUUCUUAUAACUUCAGUGCCCUGGUGUAACAGUCUAAUAUAUAGUUCCAAGAACCUUAACAAAAUUUUUUUUUAAAUUUUAAUUUAUCAAUUUUAUAACAAUAAGAUGAUCUGCCUUAAUAAAUGCUUUUCUUCGAUUUAU